CGGAAGAAGAGCAUCUACAGCAACACAAUAAUACGACAACAGACUGGAAAAACAUCUGGAUGCGAGAACGCCCAAAUCUCCAGUUUCAUUUCCAGCGUUACGAGCAGGAAAAGGCUCUGAGAGUUCAGAUUCCUGUCGGGCCUCUUCGGCCUGUCAGCCAGACGGAGACGUGAGCUCUGCUGGAGGGGAAACGUGGAAAAAAAAACGCCAACAUAAACUGUGGCGAGACACUGAAGCAGCCUUUGUGCAGCGGCAGCAGCUGUGAGCAGAUCCUGGAGCUUCGGUGGGGGUCGACGGAUUCUUCAGCUCAGACGUCACCAGAAACACCCUGAACCUGGACGUGGUGAGUUCGAGGACCCGUCUGAGGGGAGGAAAUCCCUCCUUUGUUUCCCAGGAAGCAG
ensembl:lncRNA